UGAUAGCGAUGAAGCGCGAGGUUGCUGCACUUCAGUUGCAGGUUUUCCGUGGAGCGAAUGUCAUGUAAGGAUACUGGCGACAA
rnacentral:ncRNA from 1 species